UUCUAGCUCAGUUGGUAGAGCAUGAGACUCUGAAUUUCAGGGUCCUGGGUUUGAGUCCUACAUUGGGCAAAA
rnacentral:tRNA from 1 species